CCCCAUGGCGAGCACUCUGCAGAGCCUGGGCUUCUUCGUCGUACGCCGGCGUCCCUGCUAGUGCCUGCCGUUGAACUCUCCGGCCACCAUUGAUCCGACCUCCCCUAAGCCAUCGAUGAGUAGAGAAAAACAGUGAACGCCACCUCUGUACUCGCCCCACCUUAUGGCGCGUCGCUCCUGCAGUACCGGCCCACGCUCUGCGCGGCGCUCAGGUGUUACGGCUGCCCUCAAAUCCGUCGUCGGACCAUUGGCACUGGGGCAAGCAAAAGCACGGACAGGUGCUCGGCGUGCUGCAACGGCUUCCGAUUUGCCCGGCUAGAUGAAAGACGGCUGGGGAGCAUCUUCUCUGGGGAACACCGCGCGUCAUGGGUGCCUUGCCGAAGUUCAGGGACGGCGUGAUUGCUCAUCGUCGUUCAUGCUCCACCGUGGCGCCACCCAUCUCCGUGGGCAGUGGGCUGCAUCGUCCAAUCGACCGGUGAGUGGCCUGUAACGAGUUCGUUGUGCUCUCGGCUUCAUAUUUCCAUCAACCAACAUCAGAAAUCGCGUGUGUUGCACCAAGAUUGGUCCUCUCUAGUCCUGGCUACCACCGUGGUGGCUCUGUGCGCCGCCGAAUAGAUGACCAGGGGAGGAAGAAAGGGGUGAGUCCGUUGGAUUUCGAUCCAGCGACUAAUAUUAGAUCGGGUUAAAAUUAGAUGUGGUUCGUUCGAUCUAAAUGGACGGGCGGGAUUUUAAGUAGCAUCCCCUUCGCUUGAUUAAAUCAUAGCCGUCGAAGUUCGAUCUGGCGGCCGCGAGGUGAAUUGCGCGCGUUAAACCGAGACCCUUGGAUUUAGAUCCGAUGGUUUAGAUCGCAUUCCGGAUCGGCUGAUUGCGGAUCUAAUCCUAGCGGCCAGAUGUUGAUCGUGCGGCCAGGAACGCAGAAUACCCCUUCGCCGUGCCUAUUUGAUAAAGAGUCCCUGGACUUCUUAGUAAUAAACCCGCGGUCCACAGUGGCUGUGCGCUGAGUCUAGUAAUUCUUGCGUAGAGACCCCUAUAUUUAUCUGUUUUUGUGCGCGCAGUCCAAACAGAGAUUAAAUCAGGAAAUUAAUUUAAGAAAUGAAUUUUUAAUAUGAAAACAAUUCCAGAACUUGUAAAAUUCAUAUAAAAUUUAUUUUAACUCAUUUUUAACCCAUUCCAGUUCCUAUAAUUUGGUAAUAUUAUUGUUUAUCACCUAGUGCCACUGUUUUAGCAUGAAAACUAUAUUAAAUUUGAUCACCUAGUUAUUCUCGUACCAAACACAUAAAAUCUUCAAAAAAUCGUAACUUCUCCGUUUUGAUUCCGAUUUGUUCCGUUCCAGUUGCGUUAGUCUCAUAGAAACGCGUAGAUCAUUAUUAUUCAGUAUAUUCUUAUGUUUGGUGUAAUGUUAAUUUUAUCUAUACCAUGUUUGUUUGUAUUGCUACGACUAGCGCGAGGACACGUGUCAUCUGAAAAGCAAGUUGGUACCUGAAAUCUCAAGUGCCAGGCAAGUUGUGCCCUUGAUCACUUCUUUUACCCACUCAUGUUCUAAUUAAUCAUAAUGAUCUGCAUAGGUUAAUUUUGAUGGGACCUAAUAGGAUACCCUAGUUUGUCUAUCUUUAUGCCUUGUUUACCACUGAACUUUUUGGGUAGUACUUGCUAGUGCUAUAUGUGGUUUUGGGCAUUGAGAUACACAUUAUUCAUGAUUAUACUUUUGUUAUCCGUUGUUAUUUACUGUUCAUGUCAAGAUCAUUAAUGUUAAUUGGAACAUAGAGCUUAACUUGAGAAACACGUGCCACCACAAGGGUUUAUGGACGCCCUUGGCUGAUUAAUUAGGAAAGCUAGUGGAGGACUACCUUACCCGAAAGGGGCAAGGGCAGUAGGGGAGUGGUCAGUGUAGGGAGGCCCUCGGGAGGAUUUUGCUGCGAUGGCGGUCCUGCAAGGGAUUCCUGCAUUGGAGCUUCCCAUAAACUGUAGCGGGUUUUCUGAAGCUAGUGGAACUUUGUAAAGGCCUCGUAGUGUUACCCUGCCUCGCCUCCUCGGUAGAGGUGUAUGGGAAGUCGCGAUCCCUUGGCAGAUGGGUAACAUGACUUGUGGGUAAAGGGUACCACCUCUGCAGAGUGUAAAACUGGUAUACUAGCCGAGCUCACGGUCAUGAGCAGCUCAGGACUCUCUGAUGAUUAAUCUAUGGAACUUAAAUUCAAUUUGUCAUAUGCAUUGCAUCGCAGGUGAUGUUGUUACUUCUGUUCUACUACUUAAUUGGGUUGGUAUUUACUUAUACUUAGUAAUUGCUAAUAAAAUUUUGACCAACUUUAAAAGCAAUGCUCAGCUUCAACCAUCUCUGUUGGUAAGCCUUACACUUCACGUGAGCUCCCACCUUUGGCGAGUUCAUGCACAUUAUUCCCCACAACUUGUUGAGCGAUGAACGUAUGUGAGCUCACUCUUGCUGUCUCACACCCCCCCACAGGUCAAGAUCAGGUACUGCAGGAUGAGGCGCAUGGUGGAUGCUGUGAUGAGUUCGUGAGUGGUCUAGGCCGUCGUCUCCCAGUCAACUUUGGUUUGCUGGACCGUUGUCUCCUUAUAAUGUAAUUAUUUAUUUUGUAUAUAACUCCGAUUAUAUAGUAAAGAUGUGACAUUCGAUCCUGUGCCAUGAUUCAUCAUAUGUGUGAGACUUGGUCCCAGCACACCUGGUGAUUAUGUUCGCGCCCGGGCUUUGGACCCCUAAAACCCGGGUGUGACAGAAGUGGUAUCAGAGGAAUGUUGACUGUAGGACAAAACCUAGAUAGAACUGGACAACCAUUGUCUACUUACCUUUGCUACUCUGAUCUUUUCUAAACUUUCCUUAAUAUUUUCUCAUAUAUUUCCGCUUUACUCUGAUUAUUUUUACCUUUCUUUCUAAAAGACAAAUGUGGAUUUCACACUUUGAAAUCCUGUGCAUAAAAUGACCUUUAGGAAUAGGAGACCUAAUCUUAGGGACAAAAGCAAAACUAUUUUGUAGAUAUUGGUAUGCUUGAGUGUUUGUUCUUAUGAUACUUGUCUGAUUUGGAUCUUUGAUUGAGUGGGAUGAAUUGUGGAGUAGUGUCCACAAUUGCAUCUACAUAUACUUAGGCAUAUAUAUAAUUAAUCAAACUUAGAUUGUCCCUCAUUAAAAAAAAUGUAUCUAGCUUAAUAGAUCCACCUUAUUUUAAAAGAUACUCGCUUACCUAAAUAAAUUCAUCUUAUCUUGAAAAGAUUUAUCUUAUCCUAAUAGAUCUAUAUGACCUCAAAAGAUUCUACCUUAUCCUUAUGGAUUCAUCUUACCCCAAUAAGCAUAUUUAUCCCACGCUAGUGUAACAACCAUGAUCUAGCCUAAAAUAAAUAAGAUCUUAUCUAGUCAAACUAGUAACACCAAUCUAACCUAGAUCUGAUCUAAUCUAAAGUGACUUAUCAAACAUGUUAGAUAAUACUGAUGAAAUAGAUUAGACUCUACUCCUAUAGAACGGGUCUUACCUUAGUUCACCUUGCACUAAAUUAAGAAUGACAGAUCGACUUGGCCAAAUGCAACUACCAUCCAAUAGUUGCAUAACCCCACAAUUUUAACCUAGCAAGAGAUUCUAACCUACCUACACCAUACAAUCCAUCCUACUCACAUAUGUCCUAGCCAUAUGUCCUCGGAAGACAACUCCAAGAAAUAAAGGCCAAAGAAGACCAACCAUGUCAAAGAAGGAUAAGCAUCAACUCAAGACUUCAAAGAUCAAGUUGAAUCGCCAGCGGAAUCAAGAUCCAUAGUUUAGGAUGAAGUCUUUCCUUAUUAUCCCCUUGCCACAACCUCUACUUGCCAUAACCGUACCUGACCUAAUGAAUAUCUAAACAUACAAUAUUCAUAUCAUCUACUAACUGUUAAAAAAAAACUUGAACAAAACUUUGAUUCCCAAAACCAAAUGAGAAACUAAAAUUCUAGACCAAACCUAUUAUAUCCCUUUUCUUACAAAUCUCGAGGACGAGAUUAUUUUUAAGGGGGGUAGGAUUUGUAAUACCCAAAAUUAUAAAUCAAAUAAAAGGAGGUAGUCAUUCCUAAAUAAUAUUCCUCCCUUAUGAUAUCAUAUGUGAACGACCUUAUUUAAGUGAGUACUUAAAGUAAUGCCAUCUAAAAAAAUAUAAUUUGUGCAUCAUGCCGAGGUUUAUUUGUUUGUGCAUUCACUCAUGAAGACAGUGAUAAUAGAAAAAAAACAAAAGUGAAAAUGUGCAUUAAACCAAAUUUGGAGUUUGGAUUUUGAGUGUGUUUUCUGAUUAAUUUGAAGUUUAAAUUUGAAUCUAGAAUAAAAAUUGAAUUUGAAAAUGUUCAGAAUAAAUAGAAAUGGGUACAGAAUUGCAUGUAAUGUAUUCCCUUGUUUAUUUACCAUAUAAAACUUCCAUGAUCAAGUGAUUAACUCAAUUAAAAAUAUGAGAAACCAAAUAAAUUUGUGCACAUCAUACUGAUAUUUGGUUGGUGUGGCAUUUUGUUUGGAAUUCAAGGAUCAAAACCUUAACUGAAUUUUAAAAUAAUGGAAAUACAAACUGAAAAGAAAAUACAAGAAUGAGAACUCCCAGCCGGCCUCACCUUUUUCGUUUUUUUUUCUUUUCAUUUCUUUUUUUCCCUCUGGCCGGCCAUGCGCAUGCGCUACACUGUUGGAGAAUCUUUCACAGGAGCGCUGCAUGCGGAACCUCGAGGUCCUCCUCACGCACCAGCCAUUUCCUCCACUCGCUACGGAGUCUGUGGUGCAUGCGCUCGCCUCUUCUCUUGCGCAUUGCCCAGUAUACAGGUUCAUGCGUGAUGCCGCCCGGUGGACCCCUCCCCAUCUCGCAUGCAUCGUCUCCGCCGCGAAGCCGCGCGUAACUGAAUUAGCGUCUUUGCGGGGUCCGCUCGGCUGUGAAACUGAACCCCGCUUUAGCCGCCUGGGCGCUCACCUGGUCCGUUCGGUAGAUGAGGUCUACCGUGAUUCUCGGACGUCAGCUCACCCUGCGGCUAUAAAGCCAUGCCAUCUCCCCAGCGAUCACCCCCAUGGCGAGCACUCUGCAGAGCCUGGGCUUCUUCGUCGUACGCCGGCGUCCCUGCUAGUGCCUGCCGUUGAACUCUCCGGCCACCAUUGAUCCGACCUCCCCUAAGCCAUCGAUGAGUAGAGAAAAACAGUGAACGCCACCUCUGUACUCGCCCCACCUUAUGGCGUGUCGCUCCUGCAGUACCGGCCCACGCUCUGCGCGGCGCUCAGGUGUUACGGUUGCCCUCAAAUCCGUCGUCGGACCAUUGGCACUGGGGCAAGCAAAAGCACGGACAGGUGCUCGGCGUGCUGCAACGGCUUCCGAUUUGCCCGGCUAGAUGAAAGACGGCUGGGGAGCAUCUUCUCUGGGGAACACCGCGCGUCAUGGGUGCCUUGCCGAAGUUCAGGGACGGCGUGAUUGCUCAUCGUCGUUCAUGCUCCACCGUGGCGCCACCCAUCUCCGUGGGCAGUGGGCUGCAUCGUCCAAUCGACCGGUGAGUGGCCUGUAACGAGUUCGUUGUGCUCUCGGCUUCAUAUUUCCAUCAACCAACAUCAGAAAUCGCGUGUGUUGCACCAAGAUUGGUCC
rnacentral:lncRNA from 1 species